GACGAACGCUGGCGGCGUGCCUAAUACAUGCAAGUCGAACGCACAGUUUAUACCGUAGCUUGCUACACCAUAGACUGUGAGUUGCGAACGGGUGAGUAACGCGUAGGUAACCUGCCUGGUAGCGGGGGAUAACUAUUGGAAACGAUAGCUAAUACCGCAUAAUAUUGAUUAUUGCAUGAUAAUUAAUUGAAAGGUGCAAUUGCACCACUACCAGAUGGACCUGCGUUGUAUUAGCUAGUAGGUGAGGUAACGGCUCACCUAGGCGACGAUACAUAGCCGACCUGAGAGGGUGAUCGGCCACACUGGGACUGAGACACGGCCCAGACUCCUACGGGAGGCAGCAGUAGGGAAUCUUCGGCAAUGGACGAAAGUCUGACCGAGCAACGCCGCGUGAGUGAAGAAGGUUUUCGGAUCGUAAAGCUCUGUUGUAAGAGAAGAACGGGUGUGAGAGUGGAAAGUUCACACUGUGACGGUAUCUUACCAGAAAGGGACGGCUAACUACGUG
rnacentral:rRNA from 1 species